ACGGAAGGCAGCAGUGGGGAAUAUUGCACAAUGGGCGAAAGCCUGAUGCAGCGACGCCGCGUGAACGAAGAAGUAUUUCGGUAUGUAAAGUUCUAUCAGCAGGGAAGAUAAUGACGGUACCUGACUAAGAAGCACCGGCUAAAUACGUGCCAGCAGCCGCGGUAAUACGUAUGGUGCAAGCGUUAUCCGGAUUUACUGGGUGUAAAGGGAGCGCAGGCGGCGCGGCAAGUCUGAAGUGAAAUCCCGGGGCUCACCCCCGGAACUGCUUUGGAAACUGUCGUGCUAGAGUGUCGGAGGGGUAAGCGGAAUUCCUAGUGUAGCGGUGAAAUGCGUAGAUAUUAGGAGGAACACCAGUGGCGAAGGCGGCUUACUGGACGAUAACUGACGCUGAGGCUCGAAAGCGUGGGGAGCAAACAGGAUUAGAUACCCUGGUA
rnacentral:rRNA from 1 species